GCAUAUCAAUAAGCGGAGGAAAAGAAACCAACAGGGAUUGCCUCAGUAACGGCGAGUGAAGCGGCAAAAGCUCAAAUUUUAAAGCUGGCACCUUCGGUGUCCGCGUUGUAAUUUUGUGAGGCAUCUCCGGGUAGGGCGCCGGCCUAAGUUCCUUGGAACAGGACGUCAUAGAGGGUGAGAAUCCCGUGCUUGGCUGGCUGUCCCCGUCCAUGUGAGGUGUCUUCGACGAGUCGAGUUGUUUGGGAAUGCAGCUCAAAAUGGGUGGUAAAUUUCAUCUAAAGCUAAAUAUUGGUGGGAGACCGAUAGCGCACAAGUAGAGUGAUCGAAAGAUGAAAAGCACUUUGAAAAUAGAGUUAAAAAGUACGUGAAAUUGUUGAAAGGGAAGCGCUUGAGACCAGACUUCGGUGGGGAGUGAUCAGCUGUCCUUCUGGGCGGUGCACUUGCUCCCCUCCGGGCCAGCAUCGGUUGGGACGGCGGGAUAAAGGUCCCGGGAAUGUGGCUCCUCUCGGGGAGUGUUAUAGCCCGGGUGAAUGCCGCCAGCCCCGACCGAGGACCGCGCCUUCGGGCUAGGAUGCUUGGCAUAAUGGUCUUCAGCGACCCGUCUUGAAACACGGACCAAGGAGUCUAACAUCUAUGCGAGUGUUUGGGUGUCAAACCCUUACGCGAAAUGAAAGUGAACGGAGGUGGGAACCCGCAAGGGUGCACCAUCGACCGGUCCCGAAGUCUUCUGAAGGAUCUGAGUAGGAGCAUAGCUGUUGGGACCCGAAAGAUGGUGAACUAUGCCUGAAUAGGGUGAAGCCAGAGGAAACUCUGGUGGAGGCUCGCAGCGGUUCUGACGUGCAAAUCGAUCGUCAAAUUUGGGUAUAGGG
rnacentral:rRNA from 1 species